rnacentral:lncRNA from 1 species
GCCAGCGUGGGCUGGGGACCUCUGGCAGCUUCACCCUCACUGUCUUCCCUCAGAUGACCGUUCUCAGGGGCAGUUUCCUCCAGUGGAGGAGAGCCCCCCUGACGACAUGCCCGAAGCCUGGCUCUUCCCUGUGAGAUGAUGCUGGUUUUGCCACUGUUUCCUGCCCUCUCUGACCACCUGUACUUCCCGGGCUGGGGCUGCUGGGGGCUCCCAGAGUUGUGGACUGGGCAGGGGGCACCUUCAGUCUCUGGAAGCCAACGAUCUGUGCUCUGCAGGGUGGGCCCUCUGGCCGUGAUCAUACGGUGCUGACUGGCCCCGCAGGGCCAAAGGAGCUCUGGGAGCUGGUGUGGCAGCACAGGGCUCAUGUGCUUGUCUCUCUUUGCCCACCCAAUGUCAUGGAGAAGGUGACAGAGCAGAGGACAGAGGAAGGGGGGCUCAGGAGUUAGGGCCAUAGGAAUUCUGGCCAACGGAGAUGCAGCCCGUAGUCACAGACAUGGUGACGGUGCACUGGGUGGCUGAGAGCAGCACAGCAGGCUGGUUCUGUACCCUCCUCAGGGUCACACAUGGGGAGAGCAGGAAGGAAAGGGAGGUGCAGAGACUGCAAUUUCCACACCUGGAGCCUGGGCAUGAGCUGCCCGCCACCACCCUGCUGCCCUUCCUGGCUGCUGUGGGCCAGUGCUGCUCUCGGGGCAACAACAAGAAGCCGGGCACACUGCUCAGCCACUCCAAGUGUUGUUGGACAAUGGUCUUGGGGGAGUGGACAAUGGUCUUGGGGGAGUGGACACUGGAAGCCCCUCCCUGCCCUUCUGGCAUAGCCUCAGAUCUCCCUGGGCCCUGCUUGGGUUAUGGGUCAAAAGGACACAGUCUCACAAUGCCCCUGUCUUCUCCACACCCUACCCUGUCCUCAGGAAUAUGGUGGGAAUUUACCGCCUCCCUCCCUAGGUCCAGGCUGGCCGGCUGACCAAGUGUCUGGUGUCCCUUCUCAGUCCCUGCGCCCAGGUUGGGUUUUCCCACAUCCGCGGACACCCCCGCCACACCCCCUUUAGGUACCUCAUCCACCUCUAGGUCAGUUGCAGCAAGGGUGCGACCCAGCUGGGCACCUUCCUGGCCAUGGAGCAGCUGCUGCAGCAGGCAGGGUCUGAGUGCACCGUGGAUAUCUUUAACGUGGCCCUGUAGCAGUCUCAGGCCUGUGGCCUUAUGACCCCAACACUGGUGAGAGGCGACCAGGGGCGACCGGGCUGGCGUGGGGGCGUGGGGGCUCAGCUGUGGGAAGGGGCGGGGGGAUAAGGGAGCUUCUGCCCAGGCCUCUAGGCAGCACCACCCGGGUAGCCACCAGGUGGCGCUGUGGACCGCUGUGCGUUCUCCCAGAUGGAGCCCUAGGGGUUGGGGGACACAAGGGAGCCUUUUUCUGUUAGAUUGGGGCAGGCGGGGCGAGCCUCCUAACCCUAUGUCCAUCUCCAGAAGCAGUAUGUCUACCUCUACAACUGUCUGAACAGCGCGCUGGCAGACGGGCUGCCCUGAGUCAGCACUGGUCACGGUGCAGGAGAGGUUUGUGCCCUGUGGGAUGGGGACAGCAUUCCUGACACAUCCACGUGGGCCUGGGCUCCCUGGAAGGGCGGCCUCCACUGGGCCCUGUGCUGGGAAGGUACAGGGUCUUGGAAUAAAGACCUGUGGCCAAGCCUGAAGCUCAGUGUGUUCUGUCUGUCCAUCCUCAGGCCUGGGCCAGCGUGUGGGUCUCGUGGGCAAACGUGGAGCCGAGAUGGAAGCUAGGACCUGGAGUCUGGUUGAACUUGGUGACCUAUGGCCCCUAUGCUGUUGGUUUUUCCCCUGAAGCAAUCCUCUCCCUGCUAAUCCUCCAGUUUCUAAAUUUCCUCAGACUUUGGUCUCUCCACGUCUAGUUUCCUGUGGUGCUAAGCCCUGGAUUCAGAAUCACAGCUCCAAAUUGUUUGUCCUCUGCCUCAUCACCCUGUACGCACCAUGCUGUAUGCAGUAGGGUUUAUCCUGUUUCCCACUUCCCUUCUCCUGCCAUCCCCAGCCUUCUCUACCUGCCAGAGCCCCCAGGGGCCACCCUCAGCCCCCACCAGGAUGGAGGUGCCAGAGCUACCCUGUUACUCGGAAGGCAGGCGCUGGAGGCACCCCUCAGGCGGAGGUGCCAAGUUUUCCCUGCUCCUUCGCUGUCUCCUUCUUCCUCCCCUCUACAUAGGAGGUGGGGGAGAAAGCAGGGAAGGCAUAUGGAGAAAGGAAAAACCAGGAGGAGCAGCAGAGACCAGAAAAGAGGGUGGGGAGGCAGCUGUCUGUCCCACACACUGUAGGACUGCACUGCAUACCAUGUGCAUGAUUGCUGGUGGCCACAUGAGCUCCUGCCUGCUUCCCUGGUCAGGCUGGGAGUUUCCAGGUGCAGUGCCUGAUGCUGGACACUAACUGCCCCUGGUGGAAGGCCCUGGGAGGACACAGAGAAAGCCUGGACAGAUCAGAGCAAGAGUCCCUGAAAUGGAGUCGGGUCUCUCCAAGGGGAAGCGGGGAGAGCUCUUUGGCCAACCUGAGUUCCUACUAAGGUGCAACGGGUCAGAAGUCAGGAGGGUCCUUCUCAGGCCUGGUUGAAGAAGGGUACAGCGGUCGUGCUGGCUGCUCAGCCGGGAGCUUUCCCAGAACGAGACUAAAGCACUGGUGCCCUCCCAGGAGGACUAAAUGCCGGUGUCCUCCAUAUGCCAUGUUUAUCAGGAGCUGAGGGUGGGCCCCCUAAUGACCCUCACAAAAGCAGGCUGGAGGCUCUGCUCUGAGCUGCCCAAGUCUGUCUCAAGCAGCUGCUGCUGAGGUUGCAACAGG